UACGUAGGGCGCGAGCGUUGUCCGGAAUUUAUUGGGCGAAAAGAGCUCGUAGGCGGCCUGUUGCGUCCGCUGUGAAAUCCCCGGGGGCUCAACCCUGGGCGUGCAGUGGGAUACGGGGCAGGGCUGGAGGCAGGGCAGGGGGAGAAACGGGAAUUCCCGGGUGUAGCGGUGAAAUGCGCAGAUAUCGGGAGGAACACCGGUGGC
rnacentral:rRNA from 1 species